GCGGGGAUAGCUCAGUUGGGAGAGCAUCAAACUGAAGAUCUAAAGGUCACGUGUUCGAUCCACGUUCACCGCA
rfam:Ipomoea nil DNA, scaffold: scaffold2826, cultivar: Tokyo-kokei standard.